rnacentral:lncRNA from 1 species
CGUAUCAUGUCAUGGGGUUUGGAUGCACCAGUGAAAGUUGCACCGAUCCUCGAGGUGAGAAUGGGCAAUGCAUGGUACCGAAGAGGCUAGCAAAAUAUGAGAAGGUGAGAUUGCGUAUGUCCAUGGUUUCACAUUAAUCAUGAAGAACUCACAUACUUAUUGUGAAGUUUUAUUAGUUUUAUCGCAAAUCAAAGCACUACUGCAUGCCCCGAGGGAGGGGUGGGAAGAGUUAACCAU